ensembl:lncRNA
UCCAUGGAACACACUGUGGCUGUGCCCUCAGGCAUGGCACUCGAGGGAACUCAAGGUCCCUCAAUGUAUGGCACCAGGAACCGAUUUCAGUUGUCUGUUCACAUAUACAUUCAACAUUUUCUUGAAGAAUCAGAAGCUAAUUUUUCUUUUACAAAUCUCCUUAAAACAUGUAAAGUUGAGGAAACACAGCAGUAUAAUCUAUAUCCCUUUAUCAUCCCCCUUCCCAUCCUCCAUCAAAAAAAAGCUUGACACCCAGGAGUUUUAUACACACACACACACACACACACACACAUAUAACAAAAUCCAGGACUUUUAUACAUAUGUGUAUGUGUGUGUAUAUAUAUAUAUAUAUUUUUUUUCUGCCUUGUCUUUAGCUGCCAAUUCAAGAUAUGUAUGCGAAAUAUUGGAAAAGCACAUUUGUGAGAUCUCACGCUUAACAAUGCUCUAUUAGAACUUAAAGAAAAGUUGGCUGUGGGAAGCCCAUGCCUGGAGAUGGACAGGCCGUGACCCGCACCUGAGCUGUAACAAAAUCCCCUUUGGCGUCCACACCGAGAGCGUCCGUCACAGGGGUGGCUGGACACUUACCCUGCUGUCUCCUGGCGUUCGGGACCUGCUGGCAUGUCCACCCCCUCAGCCUGACCUGCUCCCACUCUCCUUCCAAGUCAAAUGGGAGAAAGGCUUUCUCAGCGAAGAUACUGCUUGAACCCACAGCCACAUCCCGCACCUCUGUGGCCGAGGGCGCCUAAUUAGAUGCCCUUCAACUGCCACUCAGACGCCAGAGCUGAUGGAGGCUGGGCUGGCGUCACGACUGGACGGGUUUUGCCACAUAACUUGCUCCCCAGAUCAACGGUUCAGACUUGGGGUUGGGGUCCAGCUCUGGGCUUCCUCAUGCCUCCAGCCUGCUCCCCAAAGUCAGUCCUGCAGCAGGAAGAUGAGUGAAGCUUGCAGUAACCUGAACCCCAGAGAAACGAGACUCCAAUAACACCAGGACAGCUAACACCUGCUAUGCCACCUUAUCCACGUCUGCAGGCCCUGUGGUGAUGAGAACUUUUCCCCCUCUCCUCACGCCAAGCCCCGGGCACUCAGCCUGCUCAGCACAACUGCAAAGGGAAAUUAUUUGUUCCGUUAAUGACGCUGCUUAUCCCAGCUAAGAGGACAAGAAUAACUGGGCUUGAAAUAAGGCUUGUGACUCCCAUACAUUGCAAGUUUCCUUGGGUUGGAAGCCAUCAAGAUGUAAGCUGGGGAGGCUGAAUUUCAAAUGGCCUUUUUUCAAAAAGAAAAAAAAAAUUAUUUUUAAGAAAAGCUUUAUUCCGAAAAUGUAUCGCAGCACUUGUCUGCGGCCGGGUGCUGAGCAAUGAAUUUAAUUUGCUUCCUUGCAUCUUCAGAUAACAUGUUUCUGCUGGUGUGUAAAGUCUGGAAGCUGUCUGCAUGCCAAGGCAAUGCCUCUUAAAUGAAGUCUUACAUAAGCCUGACAAAUUACCUGCAGAUAGAAGUCAUCUCAAUGGGCUAUCAUAGAGCCAUGACAAUAACUGUACCAUCGAAACAAAAGCUGGCUGAGAAAAGCCUUCCCAAAGCCCCACCCAUUUGUGGACUUAGGAACAUUUUACCAUGAGAUAUUUUUAAGGCACUGACAUUUUUUCCUUCUCUUUUCACACUUUCUUCCCUCUUUUUCCCCCCACUCCUCCCUU